GAAGCGCGUGAGUCCGGUUGGAGGUCUUCUUUACGUGGAUAAAGAUCCAGAUACAGGUCUUGUAAGGGUGCACUGGGGAAACGAUCUGGGGACUAAGGAAUAUGAAGUAAUAAUGCAAAUAAUGAAGGAACAGGAUUGGCUGACUUCGAUAACACCUGAUAUUAAGCUUCCUUCCUUCUAUGCUGCUUCAUAACUCUCUCACCAAUCAAAUGCUGACUGAAAAUCACGAAUCAUACUGAAUGGGCCUCUAGCUGAUUACUGUGACAGUCAUUGAUUUUUUAUGCUUUUUGAUGUAACAGGGAGCGGAAGGACACUGAGCUCUGUCCUGCAGCUGCCCUGGGGGAUGGCAAGAG